GGAGUUAGCCGGUGCUUCUUCUGCGAGUAACGUCACAGAUGUAAGGUAUUAACUUACACCCUUUCCUCCUCGCUGAAAGUGCUUUACAACCCGAAGGCCUUCUUAACACACGCGGCAUGGCUGCAUCAGGGUUUCCCCCAUUGUGCAAUAUUCCCCACUGCUGCCUCCCGUAGGAGUCUGGGCCGUGUCUCAGUCCCAGUGUGGCUGAUCAUCCUCUCAGACCAGCUAGGGAUCGUCGCCUAGGUGAGCCUUUACCUCACCUACUAGCUAAUCCCACCUGGGCUUAUCCAUCAGCGCAAGGCCCGAAGGUCCCCUGCUUUCCCCCGUAGGGCGUAUGCGGUAUUAGCAGUCGUUUCCAACUGUUAUCCCCCACAAAUGGGCAAAUUCCCAGGCAUUACUCACCCGUCCGCCGCUCGUCAUCUUCAAAAGCAAGCUUUUGAAAUGUUACCGCUCGACUUGCAUGUGUUAGGCCUGCCGCCAGCGUUCAAUCUGAGCCAGGAUCAAACUCUGA
rnacentral:rRNA from 1 species